UUUACAAAAUAAUAGCCAUUAUAGUCUUUCAGUGAUAUGAGCGGUUAUACACAUGGGAUAAAAUAAUACUGGGCCAUUGUAAAUGGAGGUGAAGUCACCAUUUCAUCUCCAUGGUCUAGACACUG
ensembl:snoRNA